UGCCAUCUAUAACUCUUUUAUAAUAUAACAAUAAUAGCUCUUUAAUAACCUGAACAGUUAACCAGCACAAAUGUUGUGCAUGAUUCUGAUUAUCCUAACAAAGAUAAGACAAAUGGGAAGUAUGUCAAUUAUGCAGAAGAAAUCGACUUGAAGAUUUAAAUGUUGUGUGAGGGUAUACUUGAUUCUUAAAAUGGACAACAUUCACAAACUUGGUGAGUACAAACAGGGAGGAUGAUCUGAAGUUAGCCUACAGACAAGAAGCGCUGCAGUUUCCUCUUUGCUGGAAUAAGGAGGGGGAAAAUAAUGGCUGCUUCUGUCAGAAAGGAUGGUGUAACUCAAUGAUGCUGUAGGUGAGAGAGACUCCAAGUGGGUCUGUAAAUAAAGCCGGCCACUUGAAAACAGUUCUCUGGAAACUGGCCCCUCAGCUCCUGCUGCUAGUUUUUCAAAUGGAGGUUUUUUCUUAGAGUAGAUUAAGUGUUUUAGUGUUACAAAGCAAAUAAUUAAAAGCAAGAUGUCAGUGAUUGAACACCACGUAUGUUUCUUUUACAUUUACUAUAAAACUACCAUGACCAAAAAACUGAACCGUAAACUCUUCUCCUUUUUUAAGUUACUAAUCAAAGCUGGUGAAAAAAAAUUCUAUGACAAGCCAAUGGUUACAACAGAUGUAAAAGAUUUAAUUGAUGCAGUGACCACAAAGACAUUAAAGAGACAACGUGUAGUUUUUACCAUUAAACUCUGGAAAUAUCCAUCGAAAUGUUGUUGCAAAUGAAUAAAAUGAUAGGCAGUCGUUGGAUAUUAUUGGCAGCUUCGUAACAUAUAACCAUAAAAAUUGGGGUUUAAGUACAUAAAGUGUGAGUCAAAGUCUCUGGGGUGCGCCUUAUUAGACGCCAUGUUUCCUUCUGGUCAGCUCAGUGUCCUGCGCCUGUUGAUAACAUCACACUAGAUGAUUGGCUGGACAUACGACCUACAGAAAUUAUCUUACCAUGUUCAAAAACAUUUAGAAUGCAAGAAACAUAAAUUUAAUAACAAAACUGCUCAACUCUUUACAAAACGUAUGUGAAAGAACAGAAUCGAAAAGGAGAUGCAAUAUAUUUUGGCCGAGUGGUAUUGCUGUAGUUUGAUAUCGUUGGCAGGCGCAGGACCCCGAGCCGAUCCAGAAACUUCAACUCCAGAAAACUAGCACUGGCUUUGCAUUCACUGGAUGGGAUUAACUGAAGAACCAUCAAGUUCUAAGGAGUCAAGCUAAGGAUGAAAUAUCACCUGGUGUCACGGGCUGACAAGUUUACAGAGCGGGAGAUUUCCAUGGAGCAACGGCAGUUUUCUUAAAGACCAAGUUCUCUCGUAUUUUCAACACAUUUGCAGUGGUCUCCAGUAUAAGUGAAUGCCUUGUGAGUCGAUGGCCAGAUCCCAAUACUUGCACUGCACCCUACGCCCUUCUGUGAAGUUCACUUAGAGGAGGUGUGCAGUAAGGCUUCAAGUGCGUAGUACACAAGUGUGCUCAGUUGGGAGGGUGCAUUGUGUCGUCGACCGCGAUGAAUGCUGGGAUGCCGGUCGUUAUUUGUACAUUUAAAAAAUCUUUAUUAACAACUUUCAAACAAACAAUUGACUAAAUUUACAUUGCCGUCCUCAUUAAAUCUUAGUCUAAAAAAGCUCUUGUGCUCCUUUUUCAGGAAGCAGAAGCAAGCCAGAGGUGUUGGAAGCUAAAGGCUGUAGGAUUUGGAGUCUUUCCUGAUAAAUCUUGCUUCUGAUUGGCUAACAACAGUGCAACUCUACCACUGUCUGUUUUAUCUUCACAAAUAUUACAAGCCUGGAGAAGUUCUGCCGUGUGGUGGAGUUGCUAACGGUUAGCCUUUACUAGCCGUGAAUCAGCAGCCUUCCCCUACUGCUGGUCAAGAUGGCUAAUGCAGGACAAUUAGUGAAGAAGACUAUUAGCACUUUUAGCCUGCAAAAAAAAAAAAAAAAGAAAUAAGUAGUUAUUCAGUAAACUUGGUCUUUAAAUUAUUAGACUUGAAUAUCAAAAUGAUUUAACAACUGAUCAAACUGCAUUAACAUCUUUGGCAGAAAAAUGAAAGCUAAAUAAUUUUAACUCAUUCACUGCCAAUGACGACUAAAGUCGUCAUUUGCAUUUUUUCACUGUGUGGGCAUUGGAACAAGCCCCCGCAAUGUGAGAACAAACAUCCCAGCUCUAAAGCCGAUCUUCAUCCGCGUACGUCACACGUCACGUGAUCAGGAAGCAGAAAAUCCAUGUGUUAGGAGAUCGUUUUGGGCCACUGCUGUAAAAAAAAUAGUGAGGGCAAACCGGAAAAGCUUCUGCCGAUCACAAUUCAACAAGGGAUUAUGAAAGAGAAAAUAAAGCUGAUGUAAGAGGUGAGUCUCCGCUUUGUUUUGGUUGUUUUGGCGUCGACAUCAUCCUAGCGCGCAACGUUCUGUGACUCUUAAAAAAACAGUAAAAACGGUGAGAAACGCUGGCAGCGAAUGGCUUUACUGAUCAGGAAACGGCUGGCAGCGAAUGAGUUAAAGAGGGACUGUACACCAUCAGAAAACGUAACUCCACCCCUAGUCAAGAUUUGAAAAAUGCUAUGAAAGUGGCCAACUGUGGGGAAUUUCCAUCCUGGGAGGGAGGGGGAGGAAACUGUACUGAUGAUGUGAAAUUGUACCAGCUCCAGUCAACCACAAAUUUAAAUUGUAGUAGCCACAGUCCAACCCACAGGGGGCAGCACCAAGAUGCUUUUAGACCUAGACUCUAGAUUUAAUCAAGAUGCACAAACAUGUCAAAAGUGCACAUAAACUGAAAGAUUGCAAUUGUAAAGACCCAGUUAUACAUUUUAUUAGCAAAAAAAAGAUUAUUUUGGGGUUAAGUUACUCUUUAAGUGCACAGUAAGUUCUACCAGAUGUGUUAUUCUGUACAGUGAAGUUCAUAUAUUUAUUUAAAACUCUUGAAAAACCUGUCUCAACACUAAUGUAAACAUCUUUUAAACUAAUCAGAAUGUUACAUGUUUGCAGUGUUGUCCCCCCCCCCCCCCCC